AGAGUUUGAUCCUGGCUCAGAUUGAACGCUGGCGGCAUGCCUUACACAUGCAAGUCGAACGGUAACGGGCCUUCGGGUGCCGACGAGUGGCGAACGGGUGAGUAAUGCAUCGGAACGUACCUUUCAGUGGGGGAUAACGUAGCGAAAGUUACGCUAAUACCGCAUAUUCUGUGAGCAGGAAAGCAGAGGAUCGCAAGACCUUGCGCUGAUUGAGCGGCCGAUGUCAGAUUAGCUAGUUGGUGAGGUAAAGGCUCACCAAGGCGACGAUCUGUAGCGGGUCUGAGAGGAUGAUCCGCCGCACUGGAACUGAGACACGGUCCAGACUCCUACGGGAGGCAGCAGUGGGGAAUUUUUGGACAAUGGGGGCAACCCUGAUCCAGCCAUGCCGCGUGAGUGAAGAAGGCCUUCGGGUUGUAAAGCUCUUUCGGCCGGGAAGAAAUCGCAUGGGUUAAUACCCUGUGCGGAUGACGGUACCGGCAUAAGAAGCACCGGCUAACUACGUG
rnacentral:rRNA from 1 species